UACGUAGGUGGCAAGCGUUAUCCGGAAUUAUUGGGCGUAAAGCGCGCGCAGGCGGUUUCUUAAGUCUGAUGUGAAAGCCCACGGCUCAACCGUGGAGGGUCAUUGGAAACUGGGAAACUUGAGUGCAGAAGAGGAAAGUGGAAUUCCACGUGUAGCGGUGAAAUGCGUAGAGAUGUGGAGGAACACCAGUGGCGAAGGCGGCCAUCUGGCUCGGUACUGACGCUCAGGCGCGAAAGCGUGGGGAGCAAACAGG
rnacentral:rRNA from 1 species